AUUUAACCACAGUUAAUAGAAUGAGAUGGUUUGGAGAGCCGGCAAACUUCAAAGGGGGGCGGCAAAUAUGUUGCGCAUCAAAGGACAAAAAAAUCACGUGACUGAUAGUGUGCAUCGCCUCAGGACAAAUAGUAUAGAAUUACAUAGGUUUCCAGCUGUCUCAACAGAUUGCGAUAUAUUUUUUUGCCUGAAACUUGUGUCAUGGAUGCGGAAGAGAAAUUGCAGGAAGAACAAGAAAUGAGGGAGGUUUUGGAGCAAGAUUCAGACGAAGAACCGGAAGAAACACGCGAUUUUGUGCCUGUGUUUUCAACGAGGAGUGAACAAGAGGAUAUUAUGCCCGACGCACGUGUAUUCUACAACAUAGAUAUUGCUCUUGAACUCAUAGAAACUGACGAUCAAGGAGUAGAAAAUGUAUUUGCAGAAGCUGUGACUGAAAUUGAAGGCUUGAAAUCGUUUCCCUGUUCAAAAUGCAGCAAAAUAUGCAAGUCGAAAGGCGGAUUGACCAGGCACACUAAUUCGAAACAUGGCGAUAGUGUUUCAAUUCCUUCGACUACAACACCGCUUUGUUAUGAGACCAUAACUUCGAUUGUGGAUACGAUAAAAGAAAACAUUGUUAAAGAGAAGCUGUACGGGGAAAAUAUAAAUGCUGCGGUGGAAAAGGCUAUAGCGACUAAAGAAUUGUUCGACGAAGUGUUGCCUUUAUACACAAAAUUUUCUCGAAGCCGAAAUCAAGAUAAACUUCUCCAGUCGUUUUAUGGGUUAAUGCCAAAGUCCGCGGAAUUACUAAACUGUACGGAUUCGCGAGUUGCAAACCUUGUCAUGAUCCACAUCCCCGAUCAUUUGGUUGGAUUUUUAAACGUGCAAAAUGUUUCCCAAGAAAGAGACACAGAAUCUGCACCUGACUGCAAAAUUGAGCCAAGCGAACAUGGUCCUCUCUCCUAUAUUUCAGGGUAUGUAAUUUCAAAGUUAAGUAGAGCAUCAAAGUCUAAAGAGGAAAACAAUGAACUUCAAACCUUGUUACAGAAUUUAAAAUCAGAACAAGAAAACAACAGUUACAUUUUAGCCCGAACAAGAGGUGGUCUUGUAACACCUUGUGAGGAUAUUGUAAGAAUUUUACAUGAAGCAGAGAUUUGUUUCAGAAAGGAAGUUGACAAGUCAAAGCUGGCUAUUCGAAACAUUCCUGUCGAUGCAAUCUGCUAUUCCACCCUUUCCUUACCAAUUGUCAAGUCAUUAUGGCAAAAUAUUGUUAUGUCAUCUGGUGUCAAUCCAUCUGGUGAUACCCAGAAGUUAUGCCUUGAAAACAUUGUCAAACUGUAUUUGAAGGUGAGAUCAUUCUCAUAUGCCAGAGACUAUAUCUCCCGACAUAGAAUAAAAGAGAAGCAAAACAAAAAGAAAGGGCUGAGAAAGGAUUUGAAACAAAGUUCGGACAAGUCAUAAACAUGUAGACAGAACAAUAUAAAUAUGCUAUGUCAAUAUCC